AUGUGUUUUUGUUGUUUUUGCUCUUUCUCUCUCUCUCUCUCUCCUGCCGGGGUGGUGCUCAUUAUGGGCUCCCGCCCCUGGCCCACGCACCUGCCAUCUCCACACCUGCUGCCGAUCUGUGUUAUCGCGAGCCCUACUUAAGAUGGCAGCACUGUGCUACUCGUCGCUGGAUCGUUGAGCUAUCAACGUCAGUCGCUCAGUAGUUUGUGAAUCAGAAUCUGUGAGUUGUUUCCGUCUGUUCGCCUCUGUUACAGUCGCUGACCUCUAGUGGCUCUCCCUCUGUGAGAGAGUUUUUUUUCUCCUUUUCCGGUGUUACAGGUCUGCCUCAUGAGCCACAGCUGAGGUGUGUUGCAGCUCGUCAGCCACGGCAUAUAGUCUGCCAUCCCAAACUGCCACGCCCCUUCCACUUCCCCCAUUUUACCAGAGAGCGCGCGCGCGCUUAAACUGUGUAACUUUGGUUUUCUUUCUUCUAUUGUGAGCAAAGGUGUUCCUUUACCGUGUUAAUUGGUUCAUCACAGUGGAAGCAGUUUCUGUGUACAGAUCUUUCCCGGACCUUUCCCUGCCUGCCUGUCAUCUCGUGGACGAGUGUGUGGAUUUGUGUAACCCAGUUGUGGAGAGAGGAGAGUGAUUCUUUGGAGCGCGUCUGAUCCCCUUCCUUUCCCUCACGGACCCUGGAGCCCAGGACCCUCCUCCCCCCUCAGCACGUUGUAUCCUUACAGAGCCAUUCAGACCAAGGGGGCACCACUGGGACCUGACUCUUCCACAAUAGUCUGUGGAAAUAUGAAAGCUGGCCAUCAGUUUGCUGUCUUAUUACAUGUGUGUGGUGGGGAUGUGACAUCACUGUUUGAAGAGUUAAUGAUACAGAAGUGAGGCCAGGGAUGGGGCCCUAAAAUGUUACCCAGAGUGAAGGAUGAUGCCAGUGGACAUGGGAAGAGGAUGUUGUUGGCCCUUCAGUGCUGCCCUCUCCACUACCAUCUGAGGAAUGCUGUCCUUGUCAGUGUCACUUGUGAGCGGCACAUUUGAUAUAGAUCUACAGCCUUGAAGCACAAGUAAACAAUCUAGCUGAUAAAUGAUGGUAGACUCAAAUGCAGGAGUUAAGUGGACUAAAUUAUCAUUUUAAUAGUCUUUAUUUUACACAAACAAGUAAAACAGCAGGUAAAGACGAUUCUAAGGAGGCUCUGGGUUACUCUAACUAGACUAACUAGGUAGA